UAACCCAAAUAUAUAUGUGUGUCUAGUCAAAUGUAAUGCACUAUAUAGGGAAUAGGGUGCUAUUUGGGACUCAGCCGAGGUGUAGUUAAGACCGUUUCUAGAUAAUGUUUUAAAGAGGAGCAGUGUGUGUUCAGGGUUACAGAAGUCCUCUAUCUUUCCCAACACUCCCAAAGUUUUCCAGAAAUCCCGGUUGGACGAUUCCUGGAAUGGCGAUCGGAUAAGCAGGAAAUAUGGGAAUCGUCCAACUAGGAUUUGUUAAAUACCAUGGAACUUUGUGAAGGUUUACAGAGUUUUUUUUGUUGCUAAAUACCAUGGAACUUUGAGGAAGUUAACUGCGUUUUUGCAACGCUACUAGGUGUCUAGAUAACAUCUUUAAACAGGAGGGUGUAUUGAGAUAAUGCUGUAGUGUUGAUGGCACCAGUUAACUGACCAGUCUGAUUUUAGGAAUAAACAACUCACUCCGGACACAGAUCCAUUUAACUAACCAGUCUAAUUUUAGGAAUAAACAACUCACUCCGGACACAGAUCCAUUUAACUAACCAGUCUGAUUUUAGGAAUAAACAACUCACUCCGGACACAGAUCCAUUUAACUAACCAGUCUAAUUUUAGAAGAAACAACGCACUCUGGACACAGAUCCAGUUAACUGACCAGUCUAAUUUUAGAAGAAACAACGCACUCUGGACACAGAUCCAUUUAACUAACCAGUCUGAUUUUAGGAAUAAACAACUCACUCCGGACACAGAUCCAUUUAACUAACCAGUCUGAUUUUAGGAAUAAACAACUCACUCCGGACACAGAUCCAUUUAACUAACCAGUCUAAUUUUAGAAGAAACAACGCACUCUGGACACAGAUCCAGUUAACUGACCAGUCUAAUUUUAGAAGAAACAACGCACUCUGGACACAGAUCCAGUUAACUGACCAGUCUAAUUUUAGAAGAAACAAUGCACUCUGGACACAGAUCCAGUUAACUGACCAGUCUGAUUUUAGAAGAAACAACGCACUCUGGACACAGAUCCAGUUAACUGACCAGUCUAAUUUUAGAAGAAACAACGCACUCUGGACACAGAUCCAUUUAACUGACCAGUCUAAUUUUAGAAGAAACAACGCACUCUGGACACAGAUCCAGUUAACUGACCAGUCUAAUUUUGCACAAUGUUUUUUUUUUUUGCGCUAUGAAAAUAGGAACAGUUAGUCAGGAUCUGGGAACCUUCCCCUGUUGAUGUUGAUGAAAUGGAAACAGAGUAGGUCCCGUAGAAACUGUCUGAAUCCCAAAUGGCACCAAGUUCAGGGUCUGGGAACCUUCCCCUGUUGAUGUUGAUGAAAUGGAAACCGAGUGGGUCCCGUAGAAACUGUCUGAAUCCCAAACGGCACCCAGUUCCCGAAUUAGUCCACUACUUUUGACCACAAACCAAUGUAGAGCUCUGGUCAACAGGUAAUGCGCUUAAACAGGGAAUAGGGUGUCAUUUGGGAUUGAGACACUAUUGUUCAACUGAAAAUAUAAUUUGAUCAGGAAGUGUUUUUUAAAUGUUAUUUUAUUGUGUCCGACAGCCUUUAUCCAAAACGGGGAUGUGCACGCAGGUCACGUUUGUGUCUUAAGAGUCAGUGUGAGUUUGUCCCAAAUGGCACCCUAUUCCCUAUGUAGUGCACUACUACAGUAACCACAGAGGGUUUAGCCAAUCAGGGUUCUGGUUAAAAGUAGUGCACUACUACAGUAACCACAGAGGGUUUAGCCAAUCAGAGCUCUGGUUAAAAGUAGUGCACUACUACAGUAACCACAGAGGGUUUAGCCAAUCAGGGCUCUGGUUAAAAGUAGUGCACUACUACAGUAACCACAGAGGGUUUAGCCAAUCAGGGCUCUGGUUAAAAGUAGUGCACUACUACAGUAACCACAGAGGGUUUAGCCAAUCAGGGCUCUGGUUAAAAGUAGUGCACUACUACAGUAACCACAGAGGGUUUAGCCAAUCAGGGCUCUGGUUAAAAGUAGUGCACUACUACAGUAACCACAGAGGGUUAGCCAAUCAGGGCUCUGGUUAAAAGUAGUGCACUACUACAGUAACCACAGAGGGUUUAGCCAAUCAGGGUUCUGGUUAAAAGUAGUGCACUAUAUAGGGAAUAGGGCUCCAUUUGGUGAGUAGUUCAUCUGGUUGUAGGUAGUGCACUACAUAGGGAAUAGUGCUCCAUUUGGUGAGUAGUUCAUCUGGUUGUAGGUAGUGCACUACAUAGGGAAUAGGGCUCCAUUUGGUGAGUAGUUCAUCUGGUUGUAGGUAGUGCACUACAUAGGGAAUAGGGCUCCAUUUGGUGAGUAGUUCAUCUGGUUGUAGGUAGUGCACUACAUAGGGAAUAGGGCUCCAUUUGGUGAGUAGUUCAUCUGGUUGUAGGUAGUGCACUACAUAGGGAAUAGGGCUCCAUUUGGUGAGUAGUUCAUCUGGUUGUAGGUAGUGUAAAUACAAAAUAUAUAAUGUCCUUUUUUCCCCACAGCAGAAGAAUGGAUGUUUAAAAAAAAAACUUGCAUCUUGAGCUGCUUUUCUAUUUAAUAUAUAUUUAAAAUGUUGUGCUUGUGUCUUUCUGUUGAUUUGUUGUCUUCUAUGUGGACAGGGACAGGAAAGAGACCUUUUUAUUUGGUUUGUUAAAUACGUCUUUUCA